UGGCUCAGUGGUUAAGAGCACUGGGCUGCUCUUCCAGAUAACGUGGGUUCAACACCCAGC
rnacentral:tRNA from 1 species